rnacentral:rRNA from 1 species
CCUACGGGUGGCAGCAGUGGGGAAUAUUGGACAAUGGGGGCAACCCUGAUCCAGCCAUGCCGCGUGUGUGAAGAAGGCCCUCGGGUUGUAAAGCACUUUCAGUGAGGAAGAACGCCUGGUGGUUAAUACCCAUCAGGAAAGACAUCACUCACAGAAGAAGCACCGGCUAACUCCGUGCCAGCAGCCGCGGUAAUACGGAGGGUGCGAGCGUUAAUCGGAAUUACUGGGCGUAAAGCGCGCGUAGGUGGCUUGAUAAGCCGGUUGUGAAAGCCCCGGGCUCAACCUGGGAACGGCAUCCGGAACUGUCAAGCUAGAGUGCAGGAGAGGAAGGUAGAAUUCCCGGUGUAGCGGUGAAAUGCGUAGAGAUCGGGAGGAAUACCAGUGGCGAAGGCGGCCUUCUGGACUGACACUGACACUGAGGUGCGAAAGCGUGGGUAGCAAACAGUAUUAGAUACCCCAGUAGUC